GUGCUUCUUGCCCGCUAUCAUAUAAACGCUAAAACAUGGACGUUAAACAGAGAAACCCCCCAAUUAUUCAAUAAAACGGUGAAUUAAAUACUUUUAUUGCUGGAAGUUGUGAAUUAAAAGGUUGACGACUUAGUGAACUUGAAUUGAGAGACACAAACAAACACCCAUGGCUUGAGGAUAUUUUUCUUUUUUACUGUCUGGAGUCAAUACUUCCUUAGGACACCAUCCACGUAAACCGACUGGAAAUCAGGAUGUCCACGUGGUCAAAGCAGCUCCAUGCAGACCCUGAGGCCAAAGUACGUUCUCCCCGCCGACAAGCGCUGGAAGGAUGUGCGAAAACUCAUCUGUCAAUCUGACUGCUCUUUGAUCGGAUUGUGGAAUGUGCCAAGAGGGGAAAACUUCCCUGCAGUGAUGCAGCAGUAAAAAAAAAAAAAAAAGGUAUCACAAACAC